rnacentral:rRNA from 1 species
GGAAGCUUGCUUCUCUGCUGACGAGUGGCGGACGGGUGAGUAAUGUCUGGGAAGCUGCCUGCUUGAGGGGGAUAGCGGAGCGAAAGUUCCGAUAAUACCGCGUAAGCCCGAGAGGGGAAAGUGCGGGACCGCAAGGCCGCACGCGAGCAGAUGCGCCCAGAUGGGAUUAGGCAGUUGGGGAGGUAACGGCUCACCAAACCGAUGAUCUCUAGCUGGUUUGAGAGGACAAUCAGCCACAUUGGAAUUGAGAAACGGACCAAACUCCUACGGGAGGCAGCAGUGGGGAAUAUUGCACAAUGGGGGAAACCCUGAUGCAGCCAUGCCGCGUGUGUGAAGAAGGCCUUCGGGUUGUAAAGCACUUUUGCAUUCGAGGAAGACAGCGUAUAAAUAAAUGCGCUAUUUGACGUUAGAGUGUGAAUAAGCACCGGCAAACUCCGUGCCAGCAGCCGCGGUAAUACGGAGGGUGCGAGCGUUAAUCGGAAUGACUGGGCGUAAAGGGCACGCAGGUGGCGAGAUAAGUUGGAUGUGAAAUUCCCGUGCUUAACAUGGGGACUGCAUCCAAAACUGUUGAACUGGAGUACUGUAGAGGGAGGUAGAAUUCCACGUGUAGCGGUGAAAUGCGUAGAGAUGUGGAAGAAUACCAG